UACGUAGGGGGCAAGCGUUGUCCGGAUUUAUUGGGCGUAAAGAGCGUGUAGGCGGCUAGGUAGGUCCGUUGUGAAAACUCGAGGCUCAACCUCGAGACGCCGGUGGAAACCAUCUAGCUAGAGUCCGGAAGAGGAGAAUGGAAUUCCCGGUGUAGCGGUGAAAUGCGCAGAUAUCGGGAAGAACACCCGUGGCGAAGGCGGUUCUCUGGGACGGUACUGACGCUGAGACGCGAAAGCGUGGGGAGCGAACAGG
rnacentral:rRNA from 1 species